UAGCGAUUGAAGCGGCAUCCUUUUUUGAAGUAGAAAAAAAGAUAUAGCGGAAAGCGCGACCCAUA
rnacentral:sRNA from 1 species